rnacentral:rRNA from 1 species
UACGGAGGAUGCAAGCGUUAUCCGGAAUUAUUGGGCGUAAAGCGUCCGUAGGUGGCAGUUCAAGUCUGUUGUCAAAGCGUGCGGCUCAACCGCAUACGGGCAAUGGAAACUGGGUUGCUAGAGUGCGAUAGGGGUCACAGGAAUUCCCAGUGUAGCGGUGAAAUGCGUAGAGAUUGGGAAGAACACCAGUGGCGAAAGCGCUCUGCUAGGCCGGGUCUGACACUCAGGGACGAAAGCUAGGGGAGCGAAUGGG